rnacentral:rRNA from 1 species
UUUGCGCAAUGGGCGAAAGCCUGACGCAGCAACGCCGCGUGAGGGAAGACGGCUUUCGGGUUGUAAACCUCUUUUAGCAGGGACGAACACAAUGACGGUACCUGCAGAAAAAGCACCGGCUAACUACGUGCCAGCAGCCGCGGUAAUACGUAGGGUGCAAGCGUUAUUCGGAUUUAUUGGGCGUAAAGCGCAUGUAGGCGGUUCGGUAAGUCUGGUGUGAAAGCCCUCGACUCAAUCAAGGAAGUGCAUUGGAUACUGUCGAACUGGAGUACAGGAGGGGUGAGCGGUAUUCCAGGUGUAGAGGUGAAAUUCGUAGAUAUCUGGAGGAACAACAGCGGCGAAGGCGGCUCACUGGACUGUAACUGACGCUCAGAUGCGAUAGUGUGGGGAGCAAACAG